rnacentral:rRNA from 1 species
GCUUGUCUCAAAGAUUAAGCCAUGCAUGUCUAAGUAUAAACGACUUUAUACUGUGAAACUGCGAAUGGCUCAUUAUAUCAGUUAUAGUUUAUUUGAUGGUCCCUUACUACAUGGAUAACCGUAGUAAUUCUAGAGCUAAUACAUGCACAAAGGCCCGACUCACGAAGGGCUGUAUUUAUUAGAUGGAAACCAAUGCGGGGUAACCCGGAAUAUGGUGAUUCAUAAUAACUUUCGGAUCGAUUUAUCGAUGCAUCAUUCAAGUUUCUGCCCUAUCAGCUUUGGAUGGUAGGGUAUUGGCCUACCAUGGCUUUAACGGGUAACGGAGAAUUAGGGUUCGAUUCCGGAGAGGGAGCCUGAGAAAUGGCUACCACAUCCAAGGAAGGCAGCAGG